rnacentral:lncRNA from 1 species
AGUAGUCGAACUUUGAUCCGCCAUGCUGCUUCAACUCACCAAUGACUCUGACUCUGGUGUGGGGUUGGCUGAGUUGUGUUGAUCCUCGUUGAUUCCUGCGGAUCCACCAAAUGAAGGAAAAGACCAUUCUUACUGCGCCAGUUUCUCAAAAUUUCCACAUACUGCUUGAACUGGGUGGAUGCUUGUUGGAGCUUUAACGAGCAUCGCCUCGCAAACUUCUGAAGUUUUGGGUCCUUCCUCCACAAAAUCUGCUCAUUGACUCUUCUUUCAGUUAGUUGUCACAUCCAAGUAGGUUCGCAUCACUUUCGCUUUCGAUUGGCAUUUCGUUGGGAAAUGAAGCGGACAAUCUACUCUCAGUAGCACUGAUCACCGUUGGUGAGGAUUUGACAACUAUUGUCUUCCAUUAUCUUCGAAGGGUCUUUGAACUUGUGCAAAGCUCCUCUGCUGGAUAUAUAAGAGGAUUGGGGUACUCGGUUUCGCCCAUCCUCUUAAGAGUUGAGAAGGCAAAGGUUACUUGGCUUCGCCCGCCUCCUCGAGGUUGUACUUCAUGCAUCGAGCUGGUUACUGGCCUUCGCCUGCUCUUUGCUCACACUUCUGAAGCAUUUGAAGUGUUUGCACUCCUUGCGUUGAGUUAGCUACUGUGAUUCACCUUCUCAAUGCCAUUGAACUUCUGGAAUGCAGGAAGUUUUCACCCCAACUUGGAGUAAUUCUCUGAUAGAUUAGGUCGCCUCUCGGAUUGUACCGUCUUCUCCAUCAACCCUGCCGCCUACUCCACUGAGUAGCAAAGGUACAGCACCGCGUACUGCCUGCUUCGUUCCUUGGUCGUGCACUCUUGCAUGACCCGAAGUCCUUCACUUACGGCUAUCUUGAUGAGAAACUUGUUGACACCGGUCUUACGAAGUUUCUUGGCCUCUGCCCUUCAGCCUUGUCUCGGUACUUGGAGAUUGCCUCUGCAUGCUCCACCUACUCGGCCCCUUUCACGACCAAACGCUCUCCCUCUGUGAGAGCAAGGGAUCAAUGACUUUCACGGAAGUCCCGCCUCUGCGGUACCAUGGCGCUGCCAUGCC